UAAAGUUUAGGAGAUGAUAUCCUCCUUGUAAACCGCCGCAUUUUGCGGAUGAUGAUAUCUACGCGGAG
rnacentral:ncRNA from 2 species